rnacentral:lncRNA from 1 species
UGUUACAAUAUAUGGCAAAAUUGUUUAACAUAUUUUGUAAUUCAGUGCUACUAUCCGCUAAUAAAACAGUGUCAUCAGCAUAUAACAGUAAGAAAAUCUUAAGAUACACAUCUAGUUCAUUUUCUAGGUCUGCACUUAUUGACUGUAAACCUUUUGUAUCUAACUCUUCUAAAAAUGCUUGUAAAUCGUUCAGAUAUACAGAAAACAGAGCAGGCGAUAAAUUUUCACCUUGCCGUACACCAAUUUCGCAAGGAAAGAAGUCAGAUUUCUCAUUAUUGAAAACAACACGGGAUUUUAUAUCGUUAUACAUAUUUUGUAUAACUCGGAAAAAUUUUCCGUUAAUAUUAUUAUUCAACAGUUUAAAUAAAAGGAGAUUUCUUUGAAUAGAAUCAAAAGCUCUCUGAAAAUCAAUGAACGCACAAAAUAACUUUUUCUUCUUUAAUUUCAAUAGUUCGAAAAAGGCAUAAAUAGCAAAAAUAUGAUCGUUUGUGUUGUAUCCUGGUCUAAAACCUGCUUGGUUUUCUUCUAAAAUUAAAAACUCAUCUAAAUAAUCACAAAGUCUACUGCUUAAAAUGGAAGUAAAUAUUUUACCUAAACUUGAUAGUAAUGUUAUUGGCCGAUAGUUUUUCGGUUCCCUUUUACUACCUUUGUUUUUAAACACUGGAAUAACAUUUCCUAAAAGCCAUAUUUCAGGUAAAAAACCUGUAUCAAAAAUUAAAUUGAACAUAUAUACAUAUAUAUUUAACAUCAAUUCAGAAGAUGAUGAAAUAUACUCAUUUAUUAUCAAGUCGUCACCAG